rfam:Daphnia pulex DAPPTscaffold_65_Cont3337, whole genome shotgun sequence.
GGGGGUAUAGCUCAGUGGUAGAGAAUUCGACUGAAGAUCGAAAUGUCCCCGGAUCAACCCCGGAUUCCCCCU